rnacentral:sRNA from 1 species
UACACGGGUCGAUUUUCGCCGUGCGGCGAGU